rnacentral:rRNA from 1 species
UACAGAGGUCUCAAGCGUUGUUCGGAAUCACUGGGCGUAAAGGGUGCGUAGGCGGCGGGGAAAGUCAGAUGUGAAAUCCGGAGGCUCAACCUCCGAAUGGCAUCCGAUACUACCUCGCUAGAGAUUUGUAGAGGAGCUUGGAAUUCUCGGUGUAGCAGUGAAAUGCGUAGAUAUCGAGAAGAACGCUCGCAGCGAAAGCGAAGCUCUGGGCAAAUUCUGACGCUGAUGCACGAAGGCUAGGGGAGCAAACGGG